UGGGGAUUGAAUUCAGUGCCUUAUGGUUGGUUGAACACUUAAGAGUCUAGCCUCUUUUUGCAUGGAUUAUUUUCAAGGUCUGAGAAUGGGACUAGAAAUCGGUACCUGAUGCUUUCGCUCAUUGGCUAGCACUCUACCAACUGAACUGUGCCUUCAGCCUCAAGAUUCUAUUAGUGUUAAGCAAUAAUAGUUUGAAUUAGGCCUAUAAAGAAAUCACAGUGGAGGUUUUUUUUAAAAGAAAAGUACACCCCUUCUAAUUAAUGAGGAGUUUGCCCCAAAUACCUCCUAACCAAUGCAUUCUUUUCAAAACAACCCAGCAAAUAAAGCUUUCAUAAAUCA